rnacentral:rRNA from 1 species
UACGUAGGGUGCAAGCGUUAAUCGGAAUACUGGGCGUAAAGCGUGCGCAGGCGGUGAUGUAAGACAGUUGUGAAAUCCCCGGGUUCAACCUGGGAACUGCAUCUGUGACUGCAUUGCUGGAGUGCGGCAGAGGGGGAUGGAAUUCCGCGUGUAGCAGUGAAAUGCGUAGAUAUGCGGAGGAACACCGAUGGCGAAGGCAAUCCCCUGGGCCUGCACUGACGCUCAUGCACGAAAGCGUGGGGAGCAAACAGGGU